ACUUAAAUAGCUUAUGUUUAGAGCAUGAUAUUGAAGAUAUCAAGGAAAUGGAUUAUUUUUAAGUA
rnacentral:tRNA from 1 species